rnacentral:rRNA from 1 species
CGGGGAGGUAGUGACGAAAAAUAACGAUACGGGACUCAUCCGAGGCCCCGUAAUCGGAAUGAGUACACUUUAAAUCCUUUAACGAGGAACAAUUGGAGGGCAAGUCUGGUGCCAGCAGCCGCGGUAAUUCCAGCUCCAAUAGCGUAUAUUAAAGUUGUUGCGGUUAAAAAGCUCGUAGUUGAAUCUGUGUAGCACAGUGCCGGUUCACCGCUCGCGGUGUUCAACUGGCAUUACGUGUUGCGUCCUACCGGUGGACUUAGCCUUGUCCCCUCCGGGGUGUCAGGGCGGUCCAAUCAGUCUCCUAGCCCGGUGCUCUUUACUGAGUGUCGAGUUGGGCCGGUACGUUUACUUUGAACAAAUUAGAGUGCUCAAAGCAGGCUACUUUCGCCUGAAUACUGGUGCAUGGAAUAAUGGAAUAGGACCUCGGUUCUAUUUUGUUGGUUUUCGGAACCCCGAGGUAAUGAUUAAUAGGGACAGAUGGGGGCAUUCGUAUUGCGACGUUAGAGGUGAAAUUCUUGGAUCGUCGCAAGACGGACGGAAGCGAAAGCAUUUGCCAAAAAUGUUUUCAUUAAUCAAGAACGAAAGUUAGAGGUUCGAAGGCGAUCAGAUACCGCCCUAGUUCUAACCAUAAACGAUGCCAGCUAGCGAUCCGCCGAAGUUCCUCCGAUGACUCGGCGGGCAGCUUCCGGGAAACCAAAGCUUUUGGGUUCCGGGGGAAGUAUGGUUGCAAAGCUGAAACUUAAAGGAAUUGACGGAAGGGCACCACCAGGAGUGGAGCCUGCGGCUUAAUUUGACUC